AAAGUCGUAACAAGGUUUCCGUAGGUGAACCUGCGGAAGGAUCAUUACAAGGAACUGGCUUCGGUCAGAACCUCCAACCACUGUGUACCAAACUUUUGUUGCCUCGGCGGGCUGGGUGCCCACCAGCGCCCCCCUUAGGGGAGCCGCCCGCCGAAGGACCCCAAAACUUUUUUGUUGAUGAACGUCUGAUUCAACUUUUAAAAAAAAUACAACUUUUAACAAUGGAUCUCUUGGCUCUG
rnacentral:misc_RNA from 1 species